rnacentral:rRNA from 1 species
CAAGACAACUUUACGGAGUUGACGAUUGACGGAGCGAAGCGACGUCAAAGCGUUCAUUAAAGUCGAGUUGGCUUAGGGAUACGUUCGUUGGGUAGGGGAGCGUUCUGUAAGCCUGUGAAGGUGUGUCGUGAGGCAUGCUGGAGGUAUCAGAAGUGCGAAUGCUGACAUAAGUAACGAUAAAGCGGGUGAAAAGCCCGCUCGCCGGAAGACCAAGGGUUCCUGUCCAACGUUAAUCGGGGCAGGGUGAGUCGACCCCUAAGGCGAGGCCGAAAGGCGUAGUCGAUGGGAAACGGGUUAAUAUUCCCGUACUUGGUGUUACUGCGAAGGGGGGACGGAGAAGGCUAUGUUGGCCGGGCGACGGUUGUCCCGGUUUAAGCGUGUAGGUGUGUGUUCCAGGUAAAUCCGGUUCACUUUAACACUGAGGCGUGACGACGAGGCACUACGGUGCUGAAGCAACAAAUGCCCUGCUUCCAGGAAAAGCCUCUAAGCAUCAGGUAACACGAAAUCGUACCCCAAACCGACACAGGUGGUCAGGUAGAGAAUACCAAGGCGCUUGAGAGAACUCGGGUGAAGGAACUAGGCAAAAUGGUGCCGUAACUUCGGGAGAAGGCACGCUGACACGUAGGUGAAGUGAUUUACUCACGGAGCUGAAGUCAGUCGAAGAUACCAGCUGGCUGCAACUGUUUAUUAAAAACACAGCACUGUGCAAACACGAAAGUGGACGUAUACGGUGUGACGCCUGCCCGGUGCCGGAA